rnacentral:rRNA from 1 species
GACGAACGCUGGCGGCGUGCUUAACACAUGCCAGUCGAACGGAAAGGCCCUGCUUUUGUGGGGUGCUCGAGUGGCGAACGGGUGAGUAACACGUGAGUAACCUGCCCUUGACUUUGGGAUAACUUCGGGAAACUGGGGCUGAUACCGGAUAGGAGCUCCUGCUGCAUGGUGGGGGUUGGAAAGUUUCGGCGGUUGGGGAUGGACUCGCGGCUUAUCAGCUUGUUGGUGGGGUAGUGGCUUACCAAGGCUUUGACGGGUAGCCGGCCUGAGAGGGUGACCGGCCACAUUGGGACUGAGAUACGGCCCAGACUCCUACGGGAGGCAGCAGUGGGGAAUAUUGCACAAUGGGCGGAAGCCUGAUGCAGCAACGCCGCGUGCGGGAUGACGGCCUUCGGGUUGUAAACCGCUUUCGCCUGUGACGAAGCGUGAGUGACGGUAAUGGGUAAAGAAGCACCGGCUAACUACGUG